UACGUAGGGUGCAGGCGUUAAUCGGAAUACUGGGCGUAAAGCGUGCGCAGGCGGUUUGUUAAGACAGAUGUGAAAUCCCCGGGCUUAACCUGGGAACUGCGUUUGUAACUGGCAAGCUAGAGUGUGGCAGAGGGGGGUGGAAUUCCACGUGUAGCAGUGAAAUGCGUAGAGAUGUGGAGGAACACCGAUGGCGAAGGCAGCCCCCUGGGCUAACACUGACGCUCAUGCACGAAAGCGUGGGGAGCAAACAGG
rnacentral:rRNA from 1 species